GGAAUGAAAAAAUGAAACUGAUGUUGUGGUGCAGGAAGUGUCCCUUCAUAACGGAUUGUAGAAGUGGGCAAGCGGCGGAUCAUAGGCUGCUGUAUCGUGGAGGAAGUUUAUGGUAAGACUACGUAAGACAGACUAUCGUUCGGCAGCUAUUAUUGGCCUAUCUUACCAAUUAGAUACAAUAAUAGCUGAUAUAGGUUCACACAUAACCUGAUGUGUUAGAGACAACGACUAACUUCGAUUCACCCACUCAAGAAAAAACAAGUAGUAUAUAAGUCUUAUAGGAGAUAUAUCAAACUCCCUUUCCUAUGGUGGCUGGUGCAUCAGUGACUAAGCAACAGCAAAGCGCCAAACAGCAAUACUAACAUAUUCAAUUUUGGAUUGAAUGAAAACUAAUUUGAAAUCGAUCAAAAACUGAAUUAAAACAAAAUUUAAAUUGAAUUCAAAUGAAAUUGAAAUAUAAUUGAAAUAAAUUGGAAUUAAAUUCAAAU